AUGCCAGACUCCUACGGGAGGCAGCAGUGGGGAAUAUUGCACAACGGGCGCAAGCCUGAUGCAGCCAUGCCGCGUGUAUGAAGAAGGCCUUCGGGUUGUAAAGUACUUUCAGCGGGGAGGAAGGUGUUGAGGUUAAUAACCUCAGCAAUUGACGUUACCCGCAGAAGAAGCACCGGCUAACUCCGUGCCAGCAGCCGCGGUAAUACGGAGGGUGCAAGCGUUAAUCGGAAUUACUGGGCGUAAAGCGCACGCAGGCGGUCUGUCAAGUCGGAUGUGAAAUCCCCGGGCUCAACCUGGGAACUGCAUUCGAAACUGGCAGGCUGGAGUCUUGUAGAGGGGGGUAGAAUUCCAGGUGUAGCGGUGAAAUGCGUAGAGAUCUGGAGGAAUACCGGUGGCGAAGGCGGCCCCCUGGACAAAGACUGACGCUCAGGUGCGAAAGCGUGGGGAGCAAACAGGAUUAGAUACCCGAGUAG
rnacentral:rRNA from 1 species